rnacentral:rRNA from 1 species
UUGCUUGCGGAGUGUAGGUUCUAGCGAGCCCAACCUCCCACCCGUGUUUACUGUACCUUAGUUGCUUCGGCGGGCCCGCCAUUCAUGGCCGCCGGGGGCUCUCAGCCCCGGGCCCGCGCCCGCCGGAGACACCACGAACUCUGUCUGAUCUAGUGAAGUCUGAGUUGAUUGUAUCGCAAUCAGUUAAAACUUUCAACAAUGGAUCUCUUGGUUCCGGCAUCGAUGAAGAACGCAGCGAAAUGCGAUAACUAGUGUGAAUUGCAGAAUUCCGUGAAUCAUCGAGUCUUUGAACGCACAUUGCGCCCCCUGGUAUUCCGGGGGGCAUGCCUGUCCGAGCGUCAUUGCUGCCCAUCAAGCACGGCUUGUGUGUUGGGUCGUCGUCCCCUCUCCGGGGGGGACGGGCCCCAAAGGCAGCGGCGGCACCGCGUCCGAUCCUCGAGCGUAUGGGGCUUUGUCACCCGCUCUGUAGGCCCGGCCGGCGCUUGCCGAACGCAAAUCAAUCUUUUUCCAGGUUGACCUCGGAUCAGGUAGGGAUACCCGCUGAACUUAAGCAUAUCUAAGCCGGGAA